GAUGAAGAACGCAGUAAAAUGCGAUACUUGGUGUGAAUUGCAGAAUCCCGUGAACCAUCGAGUUUUUGAACGCAAGUUGCGCCCGAAGCCUUUUGGCCGAGGGCACGUCUGCCUGGGCGUCACGCAUCGCGUCGCCCCCCUCAAUUCUCCGUAAAAGGAACAUGUGUUUUGGGGGCGGAUAUUGGUCUCCCGUGCUCAUGGCGUGGUUGGCCGAAAUAGGAGUCCUUUCGAUGGACGCACGAACUAGUGGUGGUCGUAAAAACCCUCGUCUUUUGUUUCGUGCUGUUGCUCGCAAGGUAAACUCUUUAAAAACCCCAAUGUGUCGUCUCUUGACGACGCUUCGACCGCGACCCCAGGUCAGGCGGGACUACCCGCUGAGUUUAAGCAUAUCAAUAAGCGGAGGA
rnacentral:misc_RNA from 1 species